CCUAAGUAUAUACAACUGUUUUGUACCCAUAAUAAUUAAUUUUUAAAAUAGAAGAAAAAUAAAGUGAAUAUCCUGGUUGGAUGUGAUUAGUAGGUGCUCUUGGUUAAAUGCCUCAUGAUUUCAUAAUUAAGAUUUCAUAGUCUUAAUGCUGUGGCUUUAUUUUAACCAGUUAUUCUUUAAGGAUUCUGGAUUUAUGAGCAUUCCAGAAGACAGUGUUGUAGGAGGCAGGCUUUUGAACUAGCAAGAUCUGGGGUUGAAACCCUGACAUUCUAGUUGUGAUACCUUAGGCAGAUACCUUAACAUUUUCUGAGACUUGAUUUCUUAAUCUGUAAAAUAAGGAUUGUAAGUCCUACCACCUAAGGUAUUAAAAAGGUUAAAUGAACCAUAUAUGCAAAAGAAUAGUAGUGCCUGCUGAUUAGAAGUUAUUUAAUGAAUGUUGGUUACUUCCCAUUUAAAAUUCCUUCCCUUCUCGCUGAAGUAAAAAUUCUGUGAUGGACUGAAUAUCAAUAGUAAAAUAAAUAGUUGUCUAGUGAAAAGACUCAGAUCCCCCAGUUUUCGUCAACAGCCAUAUCUUUAGUUUUAAGUCAUAAAAUCGAUUGGAUAGACAUGCUCCCUAUCUUCAUGACUUACAAUUCAGAUGAUGUUCGUGGUUUGAGGUAUACAUCCUGGAAGAAGGAUUUUUGCUCAUUAAUAAUAAUAUUCAUUGUCAUCAUCAAACAACAAAUCUUAUAAGCUGAUUAAUACUCUGGAAAAUAACACAUAUAAUAGUCAUGUUUCUUCCUUAUCCCAGGAUAUCCCAGAGCAACUCUGCUAAAGUAUCCUUAGAGAACAAUUUAAUAUUAAUAAAAGAAGCAAAUCAGAAGUCUGAUUUAAAUGCUAGAUCUGUUACUACAGUCUCUAAAAAAAUUUUUUGCCAUUCUAUCUCAAUUAUUUAUCCACAAAAGAAAGACUUGUGAUAUAGUACUUACUUUUUUUAAAAUAAAGUUUUGGAUCUGAAGUGGAUUUGCGCCAAAGCAGCAGCUGCAUUGCCACAGUUCUGUCUUCACCUUCACCAUGUUCCUCUUGGUCAAAAAUGCACUAAGUUGCCUCCAAAUUCAAAGCAUUCAGCAAACAAUGGCAAGGCAGAGCCACCACAAACGUACACCUGAUUUUCAUGAUAAAUACGGUAGUGCUGUAUUAGCUAGUGGAGCCACUUUCUGUAUGGAGAUAUGUAGCAAUACAAAUCGGAACAGAAUGGAACCUGUCCCCUGUUGGCAGAGUCACCCCAAAGGAAGGGAGAGAUCGGUAAUCAUCCCAGCUGGUGUAAUAAUGAAUUGUUUAAAAAACAACUCAUAAUUGAUGCCAAGUUAAAGCACUGUGUACCCAUUAAGAUAUGGCAUUAUUGAAGAAAUAAAGUACAUUCGAAACCUU